UUACUUCUCCCAUAAACUCUACCUAUGUAUGUGGGCAUUUUCUAUUCAAAAGUACUAAAUUUCGACUCGAACAUAUCGCAACAUGAUAUAGAAAAAAUAUCAGGAAAAACAUUUCAUUUUGAAGAUUGUGGAAAUCACAUUUACUUUCCUUUAAUUGAUUAAUUUUAGAUUUUCAAAAGUGGCUUACCAAUACAAUUUUAAUUUUGAGGAAAUGGUAGUGGAAAAUACUUAAAUAACAGACAUAUCUAAUACGGCUCCAAAUAAUCGGUCCAAUAAUUAUGGUAAUGCAUUUAAACAUUUUCAUGCUCAAUAGACUUAUUUUAAAUAAGGGGGCGCAACUUAUUUCGUUGCGUAGUGAAGUCGCAUCAAUAAAAGCUCGAGUGUGCGGAGAGCCUAACAUAGUAAAAUUGACAGUGCCACGUUCGCCACUGGCCAGUCUAGAGGGCUUUGAGGCAUUUGAAGAUUAUCUUAAAGAAGAGCCCGCUUUCAAUAACUUGGUAAGGAAUUUUUUACAUUUUUGGAGUAAAUAUAAGCGAUGAUGUGGCGAAGUUUUUCUCCUGGCGUGGGACAGACUCCAAAAAGUGUGUAAGAGGACUUCGAACCACUUUAGCACUAAGAAAUGCAUUUAAACAUAAGUUUGCGCUCGACGAUCACGAUUUUGACCACACAACACAAAAAUAUUUUCAGUAUGCUCAAGAGCGGAAGGCCAGAUUAAAUAAUACAUACGUAUACAUAUAUCUUCAAUAUUCAAUAUUAAUAUAUUAAAUUC